rnacentral:rRNA from 1 species
AGCGAACGCUGGCGGCAGGCUUAACACAUGCAAGUCGAGCGGGCAUCUUCGGAUGUCAGCGGCAGACGGGUGAGUAACACGUGGGAACGUACCCUUCGGUUCGGAACAACUCUGGGAAACUGGAGCUAAUACCGGAUACGCCCUUAUGGGGAAAGGUUUACUGCCGAAGGAUCGGCCCGCGUCUGAUUAGCUAGUUGGUGGGGUAACGGCCUACCAAGGCGACGAUCAGUAGCUGGUCUGAGAGGAUGGUCAGCCACACUGGGACUGAGACACGGCCCAGACUCCUACGGGAGGCAGCAGUGGGGAAUAUUGGACAAUGGGCGCAAGCCUGAUCCAGCCAUGCCGCGUGAGUGAUGAAGGCCUUAGGGUUGUAAAGCUCUUUUGUCCGGGACGAUAAUGACGGUACCGGAAGAAUAAGCCCCGGCUAACUUCGUG